rnacentral:rRNA from 1 species
CUACGGGGGGCAGCAGUGAGGAAUAUUGCACAAUGGGGGGAACCCUGAUGCAGCAACGCCGCGUGGAGGAUGACGCAUUUCGGUGUGUAAACUCCUUUUAUAUGUCAAGAAAAUGACGGUAGCAUAUGAAUAAGCACCGGCUAACUCCGUGCCAGCAGCCGCGGUAGUACGUAGGGUGCAAGCGUUACUCGGAACCACUGGGCGUAAAGGACGCGUAGGCGGGUUGGAAAGUCAGGUGUGAAAUCCUACAGCUUAACUGUAGAACUGCACUUGAAACUUCUAAUCUAGAGUAUGGGAGGGGGAGAUGGAAUUAGUGGUGUAGGGGUAAAAUCCGUAGAUAUCACUAGGAAUACCUAAAGCGAAGGCGAUCUCCUGGAACAUUACUGACGCUAAGGCGUGAAAGCGUGGGGAGCAAACAGGAUUAGAUACCCGAGUAGUC